GACGAACGCUGGCGGCACGCUUAACACAUGCAAGUCGAACGGAGUUAAAUUGGAGCUUGCUUUGAUUUAACUUAGUGGCGGACGGGUGAGUAACACGUGAGCAACCUGCCUUUGAGAGUGGAAUAGCUUCUGGAAACGGAUGGUAAUACCGCAUGAAAUUAUCUGACCGCAUGAUCGGAUAAUCAAAGAUUUAUCGCUCAAAGAUGGGCUCGCGUCUGAUUAGAUAGUUGGUGGGGUAACGGCCCACCAAGUCGACGAUCAGUAGCCGGACUGAGAGGUUGAACGGCCACAUUGGGACUGAGACACGGCCCAGACUCCUACGGGAGGCAGCAGUGGGGAAUAUUGCACAAUGGGCGGAAGCCUGAUGCAGCGAUGCCGCGUGGAGGAAGAAGGUUUUCGGAUUGUAAACUCCUGAUCUGCAGGGAC
rnacentral:rRNA from 1 species